AGUGAACGCUGGCGGUAGGCCUAACACAUGCAAGUCGAACGGCAGCACAGUAAGAGCUUGCUCUUACGGGUGGCGAGUGGCGGACGGGUGAGGAAUACAUCGGAAUCUACUUUUUCGUGGGGGAUAACGUAGGGAAACUUACGCUAAUACCGCAUACGACCUACGGGUGAAAGCAGGGGAUCUUCGGACCUUGCGCGAUUGAAUGAGCCGAUGUCGGAUUAGCUAGUUGGCGGGGUAAAGGCCCACCAAGGCGACGAUCCGUAGCUGGUCUGAGAGGAUGAUCAGCCACACUGGAACGGAGACAGGGUCCAGACUCCUACGGGAGGCAGCAGUGGGGAAUAUUGGACAAUGGGCGCAAGCCUGAUCCAGCCAUACCGCGUGGGUGAAGAAGGCCUUCGGGUUGUAAAGCCCUUUUGUUGGGAAAGAAAAGCAGCAGGUUAAUACCCCGCUGUUCUGACGGUACCCAAAGAAUAAGCACCGGCUAACUUCGUG
rnacentral:rRNA from 1 species